rnacentral:lncRNA from 1 species
AGCACUCAGAUCUGAACAGUCUUGUUCGGAAAGUGAGCGCUCGUUUCACGAGUAUGUCCUUUGACUUUGGUUACGGCGACUGACCGGCACAGCGAAAUAUGAGUGAAUAACUUCCCAAAAGAUGAACACUCGACUCUUACAUCAAUAAGUUCAACAAAUUGUCUUCACAGUGCAUUUGUUAUACAUGGCUCUAGUGAUACAGAAGCUGGUCUGCAGAAUCUAUAGCUAGAGCAAAUCCACCCAAUUAACAGUCGGAAGAAAUUGACCAGAAUGCCAUUCCAAACAGUAUACAGCCAGGACAAAUCAACCAGAAUAGUCCUUCGUUGUUUCUAUCUGAGAAUAUUGAAUUCUAAACUUGUCAACUUAAAUAAUUUGGAUUUUACAAACAUUCAUGGAAGCAUAGACUUUGUAGACAAGAGUUUGUUUGUCUCAUACUUAUUUAAUGACAUUCAUAAAAUACUGUUAGUAUCUGCUCUAGCAUGUUUUGGAAAUCUACAAACAUAGACAUGCUGGAGAGAUUUUUUUUUGAAAUUCAAGUGGAUGAAUGUGGAUCACACAUUAGAAGUGUAAAAGAAGAAGAUAAACUUGUUUAAAAUCCUGACAGUGACUGG